CAGUUCGGAUUGUAGGCUGCAACUCGCCUACAUGAAGUCGGAAUUGCUAGUAAUCGCGGAUCAGCAUGCCGCGGUGAAUACGUUCCCGGGCCUUGUACACACCGCCCGUUACACCAUGGGAGCCGGUAAUACCCGAAGUCAGUAGUCCAACCUCGUGAGGACGCUGCCGAAGGUAGGAUUGGCGACUGGGGUGAAGUCGUAACAAGGUAAC
rnacentral:rRNA from 1 species